rnacentral:rRNA from 1 species
AGAGUUUGAUCAGUGGCUCAGACGAACGCUGGCGGCACGCUUAACACAUGCAAGUCGAACGGAGAUAAUUUGAGUUUACUUGGAUUAUCUUAGUGGCGGACGGGUGAGUAACACGUGAGCAACCUGCCUUUGAGAGAGGGAUAGCUUCUGGAAACGGAUGGUAAUACCUCAUAACGUAGUUUUACCGCAUGAUAGGACUACCAAAGAUUUAUCACUCAAAGAUGGGCUCGCGUCUGAUUAGAUAGUUGGUGAGGUAACGGCUCACCAAGUCGACGAUCAGUAGCCGGACUGAGAGGUUGAACGGCCACAUUGGGACUGAGACACGGCCCAGACUCC